rnacentral:rRNA from 1 species
GCUUACGGCCAUAUCAGCCUGGGUACUCCCGAUCUCGUCUGAUCUCGGAAGCUAAGCAGGGUCGGGCCUGGUCAGUACUUGGAUGGUAGACCGCCUGGGAAUACCAGGUGCUGUAAGCA